rnacentral:lncRNA from 10 species
CAGAAGUCAAGGAAAUUGCACCUUUAAUUCAAUGUGAGAAAAAAGAAGACAUGGAUCAUGGAAACUAACUCAGAAACAGUUUCAGAAUUCAAAUUCACACAAUUUAGAUAGGUUUUCGUUCUACCUUGCUGCUUCCCUGACAGCACUUACAAUCAGCUACAGGCCACAGUGCCUGUCUUCAACAAAGAAGAGCUGUCUUGGGACCCAAGGAAAAGGACUAUGCCAGGUACCUUGCAGUACAGUCUUCUGAUGUAAUGUUUAAACAACUUUGAGAAGAUACCAGUGGACUGACUCAGGAUUUCUAGAACUCUAAUCAAGAAGAAGAUAAAUUCAUGAGACUGCUAACUAAAGAUCAAGUGGAAAAAGAAUUACACAGGACUGAAUGAACUAAUCAAGGAUGACCGUGGAUUCUGUUGAGAAUAUUGUUGCUGUUAUUAAUGUUUUAUUUUCUGAAUAUAUAAGGAGCCCUUUCCUCUUAAGCGAUCUAUACCUCAUUACAAUUUAG